rnacentral:rRNA from 1 species
UCGGGAAUUUUGCGCAAUGGACGAAAGUCUGACGCAGCAACGCCGCGUGAGGGAUGACGGCCUUCGGGUUGUAAACCUCUUUUGUCAGGGACGAUGAUGACGGUACCUGACGAAUAAGCCACGGCUAACUACGUGCCAGCAGCCGCGGUAAUACGUAGGUGGCAAGCGUUGUCCGGAUUUACUGGGCGUAAAGAGCGCGCAGGCGGUCGUUCAAGUCGCGUGUGAAAGCCCCCGGCUCAACUGGGGAGGGUCACGCGAUACUGAUCGACUCGAAGGCAGGAGAGGGUAGUGGAAUUCCCGGCGUAGUGGUGAAAUGCGUAGAUAUCGGGAGGAACACCAGUGGCGAAGGCAGGUCUCUGGGCCACUACUGACGCUGAGAAGCGAAAGCAUGGGGAGCGAAC